UCCCUGGUGGCUCAGAUGGUAAAGAACCUGCCUGCAAUGCAGGAGACUCAGGUUCGAUCCUUGGGUUGGGAA
rnacentral:tRNA from 1 species